rnacentral:rRNA from 1 species
UCCGCCAGGGGACUACAAGCACAGCUUAAAACCCAAAGGACUUGGCGGUGCCUCAGACCCACCUAGAGGAGCCUGUUCUAGAACCGAUAACCCCCGUUAAACCUCACCACCCCUUGCCUUUCCCGCCUAUAUACCGCCGUCGUCAGCUUACCCUGUGAAGGCAUAAUAGUAAGCAAAAUGAGUUCAACCCAAAACGUCAGGUCGAGGUGUAGCGCACGAGGUGGGAAGAAAUGGGCUACAUUUUCUACUACAGAACACCACGAAUAAUGCCCUGAAAAUAGCAUCUGAAGGAGGAUUUAGCAGUAAAAAGUAAA